CCUACGGGAGGCAGCAGUGAGGAAUAUUGGUCAAUGGGCGCGAGCCUGAACCAGCCAAGUAGCGUGAAGGAUGACUGCCCUACGGGUUGUAAACUUCUUUUAUAAAGGAAUAAAGUGAGGCACGUGUGCCUUUUUGUAUGUACUUUAUGAAUACGGAUCGGCUAACUCCGUGCCAGCAGCCGCGGUAAUACGGAGGAUCCGAGCGUUAUCCGGAUUUAUUGGGUUUAAAGGGAGCGUAGAUGGGUUGUUAAGUCAGUUGUGAAAGUUUGCGGCUCAACCGUAAAAUUGCAAUUGAUACUGGAAGCCUUGAGUACAGUUGAGGUAGGCGGAAUUCGUGGUGUAGCGGUGAAAUGCUUAGAUAUCACGAAGAACCCCGAUUGCGAAGGCAGCUUACUAAACUGUGACUGACAUUGAUGCUCGAAAGUGUGGGUAUCAAACAGGAGUAGAUACCCUUGUAGUC
rnacentral:rRNA from 1 species